rnacentral:lncRNA from 1 species
GCGGAUAAAGCGUCGGCACUUCGCGGCUGACGUGCGCGCUCGACCGAUCAUGUUUGCCCUGACGACGACGACGACGACGACGACGACGACGUGCGCGCGCGCGCACGCGCGGGCGCGACGACGAACGACGACGCGAACGAACGCGAGCGUCGAACGCGUGGAACAGGCGACGCCGUGGGCGACGCGAAGCGUGGAUUUCGCGAACACGGAUGGGGCGACGCGGGAGCGGGCGUGCGGGACGAGCGACUGGGCGCGCGUGGACAUGGCCAAGGCGAAGUGCGUGCACCCGGAUCGACCGGUCGCGAAGUUGUGCGGGGAUUGCCCGCGACGGAAGUGAGAGGGCGACGAUCUCGGUCAUCGCAAACGACGCGAAAAAGCGAUUAAUCAUUGAUUCAUUUUUUCGACGAGGGGGACGCUCAGAGGGCGAGACGCGCUCGGAUGGCGCGCUCAGAGGACGAGACGUGUAGUGAAACCUUAAUUAAAUCGUCAAACCUGAUUGUUCCCAUCGCCUCAUCGCUUUUCGUGGCGCACACGCGAGACGCCGAAAUAAAAUGUGGCCAAGUACACUGGGACGCUGAGCGACGCGUACAGCAACGACAUCCACUUUCCGCGCUCGGCGAGCGAAAACGUUCGCAGCACGGACUCCCCCGUGAUCGCAUCGCAUUGGCUUUGAUUGGAGAAAAACAUGCGUAAAAGCCGUAAAGAUGAUUCUGGCAAGGACAUGGACUCGAUCAAGUCGUCUAAACCGCCCGUGUCUGAGCCGCAGUGAUCAAAGAAUUCGCGGCCGUCGUACUCGUUCACCAUGAUCGACGACCACGCCCACUGGAUGAACGAGAUAUUGUACAACCAUCUCCACGCGUUGUGUAUCGUGCGAGCUCGAAUGAAGAAACCUCCGACUAACAUGUUUAUCGUUGCGUAAAUUGGGAGCACGCUCGCGGGGCCGACGUCACCCGGAAUCGCAGCUGAGAUCGUGCAGCCGAUCAGCUGCGAGAUGGUGAAGUUCACGAGACAGGUGAAAACAAAAAAGAA